UCGGCGCUUUCUUAGCAGCUCCGGCAUCUUUCUUGGCGUGAUCAUGACCAGAAAAGUUGGAUUUCACAUCUUCUCUGGCGACGGCAGCCGGAGAUCUGCAGCAAUUCCCCAUUCAGAAAAAGCUUAUAGUGAGAAAAUGAUGCGAUUGAGCACAGAUCUCACAGAUACUGUAACUAGGGUUUCACUUUCACAUUCUACAAGUGAGACCAUACCACCCUACCCGUAAUUCUAGAGAGAGGC
rnacentral:misc_RNA from 1 species